rnacentral:rRNA from 1 species
UUGCUUCCACUGAGAAGAUAGUGGCGGACGGGUGAGUAACACGUGGGUAACCUGCCCAUAAGAGGGGGAUAACAUCCGGAAACGGGUGCUAAUACCGCAUAGUUUUCUUGAUCGCAUGAUCGAGAAAGGAAAGACGGCCUUUGUGCUGUCGCUUAUGGAUGGACCCGCGGCGUAUUAGUUAGUUGGUGAGGUAACGGCUCACCAAGACGAUGAUACGUAGCCGACCUGAGAGGGUGAUCGGCCACAUUGGGACUGAGACACGGCCCAAACUCCUACGGGAGGCAGCAGUAGGGAAUCUUCCGCAAUGGACGAAAGUCUGACGGAGCAACGCCGCGUGAGUGAAGAAGGUUUUCGGAUCGUAAAACUCUGUUGUCAGAGAAGAACAAGUCGGAGAGUAACUGCUCCGGCCUUGACGGUAUCUGACCAGAAAGCCACGGCUAACUACGUGCCAGCAGCCGCGGUAAUACGUAGGUGGCAAGCGUUGUCCGGAUUUAUUGGGCGUAAAGCGAGCGCAGGCGGUUCCUUAAGUCUGAUGUG